rnacentral:rRNA from 1 species
UCGGGCAGAAUGGGUAUAGGUUGAAUUCUGAAGAGGAAUGAUCAAGCCAACCCUGAAGUUGAGACCCGUUCAGACUCUACCGGAGGGCAGCAGUGAGGAUAUUGCGCCAAUUGAAGGAACUUGAACGCAGCGACGCCGCGUGAAGGAUGAAGGCCCUUCUGGAUGUAAACUUCUGUAGAGAGGGAAGAAUUUCCCGGUUCCGCGGAUUGACCGGUACCUCUAAAGUAAGGGUCGGCUAACUACGUGCCAGCAGCCGCGGUAAUACGUAGGACCCGAGCGUUGUCCGGAAUCACUGGGUGUAAAGGGAGCGCAGGCGGACUUUCAAGUCGAUGGUGAAAUCUUACGGCUCAACCGUAAAACUGCCGUCGAUACUGCUUGUCUUGAGUGUGGAAGAGGGGUGGCAGAAUUCAUGGUGUAGCGGUGAAAUGCGUAGAUAUCAUGAAAGAUUACCAGUCGCGAAGGCGGCCACCUGGUCCAUUACUGACGCUCAUGCUCGAAAGCGUGGGGAGCAAACAGGAUUAGAUACCCUGGUAGUCCACGCCCUAAACGAUGAAUACUCGGUGUUGGGUCGCAAGACUCAGCGCCUAAGCAAACGCAUUAAGUAUUCCACCUGGGAAGUACGAUCGCAAGGUUGAAACUCAAAGGAAUUGACGGGGGCCCGCACAAGCAGUGGAGCAUGUGGUUUAAUUCGAUGCAACGCGAAGAACCUUACCUGGGCUUGAAAGGCAAGAUUUUAGUCCUUGAAAGAGGAUUACCCGCAAGGGGUCUUGUACAGGUGCUGCAUGGCUGUCGUCAGCUCGUGCCGUGAGGUGUUAGGUUAAGUCCUGCAACGAGCGCAACCCCUACACUUAGUUGCCAUCAGGUAAUGCUGGGCACUCUAAGUGGACUGCCUACGCAAGUAGCGAGGAAGGUGGGGAUGACGUCAAGUCCUCAUGGCCCUUACGCCCAGGGCCACACACGUGCUACAAUGGCCACUACAGAGGGUUGCUAAAGCGCAAGCUGGAGCUAGUCCCAAAAAAGUGGUCUCAGUUCAGAUUGUGGGCUGCAACUCGCCCACAUGAAGCUGGAAUUGCUAGUAAUCGCGGGUCAGCACGCCGCGGUGAAUACGUUCCCGGGCCUUGUACACACCGCCCGUCAAGCCAUGGAAGCUGAGGGUACCCGAAAUCGUCGCGCUAACCGCAAGGAGGCAGACGCCUAAGGUAAAAUCAGUGACUGGGGCUAAGUCGUAACAAGGUAGCCGU